rnacentral:lncRNA from 1 species
CAGAGAAGAGCUCAUACCUCUAUUCCAUAGAAAUCACACUGUGGACCGUGGUGCCUGCUGUUCAGGCCUUGGAGAAGAAAAGUGGAUUCUUGCCUGGCCCGCUUGCUGACUCUGGAGGGAUGCUCAGGGACAGCAGAGAAGAAGCUGGCUGACUGUGAGAAGACAGCUGUGGAGUUCAGCAGCCAGCUGGAGGGCAAGUUGGCCGUGCUGGGGACCCUGCCUCAGGAGUCUAGGCUGCUGCAUGAAGAACCUCAUGGGCAACUGGAACUUCUGGGUCCAGCGGCUUCCCCCUGGCAACAAGGGGGAGGUCCCCAAGAGUGGGCCAAGCUGGAGGACUGGCAGAAGAGGCUCGACAAGCAUGUGAUGGGGGCAGCUAUGAGAUGCUCGUUUCCCUGGGUGAGGCUGUGUAAGACCCCCUUUCGGGGAUCCCCACUCUAGUAUCAGGAGUGAGAGAGCACCCAAAGAAACACGAGGACCCAUCUUGCUGUAAUCACAUGAGGCAGUUUAAUGACGGAGCUCCGGACCGACAUGCAUCUCACAUAGGAGAUAAUGGAUGUCGGCCACGAGGCUCGAAAGCUAGGGUUUUUUAUGGGGUGAGGGGCUUAGGGGUGUGGGAUUCAGCAUAGCGACACACUAUUGGCUUAUUCAAACAUUAACAGAAAGAUUACAUGUCAGCAAAAGGGCAUCAG